AGAUCCGGGCGCGGAUGGGCAUGCGUCUGAUUAGCUGGUUGGCGGGGCAACGGCCCACCAAGGCAACGAUCAGUAGGGGUUCUGAGAGGAACGGUCCCCCACAUUGGUACUGAGACACGGACCAAACUCCUACGGGAGGCAGCAGUGAGGAAUAUUGGUCAAUGGGCGGAAGCCUGAACCAGCCAAGUCGCGUGAGGGAUGACGGUCCUACGGAUUGUAAACCUUCUUUUGUCGGGGAGUAACGUGCGGGACGGGUCCCGUAUUGAGAGUACCCGAAGAAAAAGCAUCGGCUAACUCCGUG
rnacentral:rRNA from 1 species